UUCUUUGCCUACUAGGAAGCUGGCUACCUGUAUGGAAAGCCUGUUUGAUGUGUAGUACAGACCAAUAAUAAGAUCAGGAGAACCAAUGGGAGUGAAGCAGCACCAUUCCUCUCGAAAAAGAGCCGCUUUCCUUGGUGCAGUAGACAAAUGCAGAUUUUGCCGAUUUGAUCGUAAUUCAUUUAAGUAAGGUGGUGACCUGUCCCAAUGGAUCUUCCAGUGACCUGACCAAAAUAGUGUCCAAAAUUAGAGCCAUUGAAGCAGGCUGUCGUGGAAGACAGAGCAGCAGCUGGAGAAUAUGUGGGGAAGAUGGAUAUCAAGAUCACAAAAGCAGAGAAAAUCCAAAAUACUUACCUCAGAAUGUGAGACCAUCUGCACAUAAAAAAAACUGGAAGCCUCUUUCGAUGGCCUUGACCACACCACUUUUUUGAGACUUUCUAAUUACAUCCAAUGAUUCAGCUGUUCUUUCUUUCUUUCUUUCUUUCUUUCUUUCUUUCUUUCAAGAACACAUCACCACUACUAUUUUUAUUCAUUAUUAUCAAUAUUAAGGACAAGCAUGAUUUCCAGUGUGAUAUUGUUCUUAUACAUCAGAUCAAUAAAUAUAAAGUAAAUAUUAAGUAACUUACAUUUAAAUACAAUAUUGCAAUGCACUUACUUUGUCUAUUUUUGCUUCCAAACAAAAAUAGUUCCAA